GCAAUUCUAAAACAAAUGCGUAUUAACGUCGUAUCUAAUUCGGAUCAUUGAGAGUCCUACACGACGACGAUUUAAAAAAGAUCUAAAUUCAGAGAUCUACAUUCAGAGAAACUGAAAAAUGUGAGGUCACGGUCUAUUGACAUUACCUACACCACCCAAACGAAAUCCAUUGAUUUAUUAUGACCAAUGCAAGCUUAUAGAAUUAUUGGAUAGACGCAUGGCGUGGACAUCUAUCGCCACUUUCACUUGUAGUUGAUAUUUUGUCCAUACCUGUCGCCGUAUUCACGCACACUUUCUACGAAAGAUGAGAUAAGUUUUUAAGGUUAUUUCUUUUUAUAUUUGUCGAACGACGUAUUCUUUCAAAGGUUUUAAUUAAAGUACUCAUUGCUUCUUAUAUAUCAUAUUAUGCAUUAUUUAAGUCAUUUAUUUAAUGAACCUUUCAGUAGGUUUUCGGCCUUAAAAUCAAAAUUAGCAUGUUGGAAGUUUAUUAAAUGAUAUUCGUUUGUAGAAACUAAGAACUAACCUCUAAAUAUGAGUUUAAUCGAAAGCUUUUGAUUUAAAGAAGAAAUCAAGAAAUAAAACGGAUCAAAUUAUUUUUAAAGUAAAGUAUAACAACUUGAAGAAGCUGGUACUGAAGUUACGGAACCUUUCCAUUAUAUUAUCGUUCUAAUUAAUUGGUUUUAUUAAUAGUACUAAUUAAGAAGUAUCCUGUUAAUUGGUAAUAUUCCAACAUUGGUAUAUUUCUUUUAUUCCUAUUAAGAAGGUAUGAGAUGAUAAUGACUUCAUUAUUAUUAUUAAGUGAAAUAUUUCAAUCAAAAGUGUACUUUUUCUUUAUUUUCAAACUAUGUCAAUGUAUGACUGUAAUGUACAAAGUUUCAGAAUUGGCCAACCAUUGAUACUCACUGUUACUUUGUUUAAAAACAAAAGAUGAUGAAGUCGAUCCAGAAAUGUAUCAUUAUGCAUUGGAUUAUUAUUAAGGAAAUGAACGCAACAGAGGAAUAUUCAGAUGGAAUAUAUGGAAUGCAACAGAUGGAAUCAUUGUGGAAUAGAUUGGACUGGCUUUCAAUUGGUCCUCAACGAGAAUAUUGCCACUAUAAGAUCAUGCCUCAACACCGUUCAAAUCUCUAUGAUUACUGGAUUUUCAGUGAACAAGAACGUGGUUGUUAUUCGUAUGAAAUUAGAAAAGAAAAAUAUCUUAAGAUUCAGGAAUAUCGAUAUGUAUUCGUCACUUAAUCGAUGGUUUCUCUAUCGAAAGAUUCAUUAUGCAUGCAAAGAUUGAGAAAAGAGAGAGAACUAUUCAAGAGAUCAUCGGAAUCAUCUGAAGGGACAUUGAAGAACAUAGUUGCAGAGAGAAAGCAAUUUAUUACAAAUGAUGCUUAAGAAAAAUUGUCACUGAAGGUUGUGUGGAAACUAAUGAACGAUCGUUGAUGAAAGAAGAAUAAGAUGUGGACCACGUUUUUGUAUCAAUCUUGCUGUGGCAAUUUAUUCUCUCACAUAUAUUUAUCUAUUCAAUGAACCAAUUUAGCAGUAGACGCUUUGGGAUCCAUCAGUUAAAGUUUCUGUAUUAACACUUUCCAAGUUUUUUAUGGAAAAGAACAAAAAAUCCAUAUGCUAAAGCAUUAUCGAAGAUUUGAGAGAUUGAUAUCUAUAAUAACGAUAUUAGGAAGCGUUAACCAAAGCAUUGACUUAUUUGAGAUUUUUAUUUGACGAUAAGUUGAACAAUUGGAACGAAUAAAUGAUUAAAUUUAUUGCUAUACUAGUGUCAGGUUUUUUAUUAACUAAUUAUUUAUCAUGUUAUGAACAAAAGCUCGAUCAAUUGAAUACGUGAUAAGCCAUCGUUUUAAUGUCUAUGUCAUUAAACGCCAAGAAAAUUUUUAUCAGUGAAUUCGACAAUUAUUAUUAUUAUUAUUUUUUUUUUUUUUUUAAGAUUGGUAUUAUUACUUGAAAACAUUUUUCUUAUCGAUAAGCCUUAGUGUAGCUUAAACCUAUUCAAAGGAUAUGCCGAUUAUUUAUUUCGGCAAAAUAUACGGAAAGUCGAAUUAAAAGAAGUAAGCGAAUAGACGAUUGCCGGAUUGUAUUAUCGUACAUUUGAGGAAGAAAUGAAUUAAAGAGUCAGCUGAAGGUUCAAUUCAUUUAACGUAUAUGAUUCUUUCAGUCGUUAGGAACAAAAUAAGAAAUAAGUUUAUUAGUUAUUUUUGAACCUGUUUAACAUAUAAUAAAAUAAAAGUUGUUAUCAACCUGAAUCCUAAAAUCGCAUUUUUUAGUAACUAUCAAUUUAAAAUGGAGAAUAUGAUAGCAUUGUAAAGAGAAUGAAAAGACGUUUCAAAUAGUAUGCCUCUCAGCCCCUUUUGCCAAUUAAGAUUUUUGAGGUAGUUGUCAUCCCCUUAGGAAGUUAACCUAAAGAAAAAUGGAUUUAUGAUAAGGACCUAUCCCCCUCGAAGACAACAUUGACUAGAUCUGAUGUUUUUUGAAAAAAUCAUUAGAUUUCAUGGUUGACACUUUUUGUUUGGACACUCUGUAUAUGUUCUAGGUUACAUAGGGUGAUUCAUAUCUUUCCUUUUUUACCAUUUUUUCUUCUUUGUGUCCUUAUAUAUGAUCGUUAUCUGUUAUUAAAAAUAUUUUAUUUUAAUGAUUUGUAUCGAAGUAAAUACAAUAUAUAGUGUGCCAUAUAUGGUAAUUAUAUAUACUUACAUAUUACUUUUUUCUCUUAUUCCAUCUCUCACUCUCUCUUUCUCUAUCUAUUAAUAAUAAUUAGUAAAUGCUAUUCAUCAGUCGACAGAUAUGUAUUAGUAUAUGUUCAGAGUUGAUUGUGUACUUCCUUACAGAAGCAUUUCAUUAAUUCAUCAGUUUUCUUCUUAACUAUCUCUUUAAUUGGAAAUGAUAAAAUUAUUUUUAUCAUAGAAGUAGUGAAUAAAUAGAAUAUGAGAUUUCUUUUUUAUGGAUAAAUAGUAACAUGAUUAUCGUUUUACUUUGAAUAAUAAAAUAUAAAUAUUUACAAUAACAAAUGACAAAGAUUUCUUUGCAGAGAUAUAUUUUUGGUAAUCUAGUUCUUCUUAACUUCCGUCAAUUUACGUGAUUCAAAUUGUGUCCAAUUCUUGAUUUCAAUAAAUUCAUUUCAAAAUUGAUCGUUUGAAGCGAUGUCGAAUUGAAAGUUUUUCGGUAUAUAUUAUUUAUAGCACACACACACACACACACACAUACAUUAUAUAUAUGUAUGUAUAUGUAAUAAAUGCUGUUAUUAAAAAUAAUAAAAAUAUGUAUAGAAAGAUAUAGAUUCGGUAGUGAUUAAUGUAGAUUGACAAAAGUAGACGAAUACAUUAAUGCAUCCAUUAAGUGCCCUCUAUGUGGUCUCAUCAGUCAAGUAGUAAUAAAUUUGUUGGAAAUUACUAAAAUUUUAUAACUACCAAAAGUCACUUAUGAUUUAUGGUUCGUUACUUUCACAUCACUUUAUAUAAAUCACUGUAAUAUUUUCUUGCAAUUAAUUCUGUUACGUUUCGGGAGAAAAUUGUAUACAUUGCGUCUUUAUUUAAAAUUAACAUUCGUCCAUGCAGCUAAUUUUACCUAUUUCUUUAAAUAAAUAUAAAUCUUUUUGUCUUAUUUUCGAGAUCAUUCAUCAAUCAAUCUACUUUUAAGUAGGAGCUUUGAAUUUGAUGAGUAUCUUGUAUCUUCGAACUUACUUUUUGACUAAUCUAAAUAUUAGACUUUGAUUAUUUUUCGUAAUUUAAUUGUAUUCGAACUAAAACGAGACGAACUAAAUAGUUAAUAAAAAAUGUCACCUAUACGUAAUAUUUUUUUUGUAUCUACAUUAUAGCAUCGUUGUAUUUGUAUACACAAACUUCCAUACGAGUAAAACUAAUACCAUAUACCUACAAUAGCGAAGAGUUUCGAAUCUUUUUAUUUUUAUCAUAAGAAGAAUUUUGAAAAUGAAUACAGUAAUAUUAUUAUUAACAAUUUCCAUCAUCAUAAUAUUAUAUUUUAUAUAACGUAGAGAAAUAACAGUAUUCAUAUACGAUGUCUUUUUUCUCGCGUAUAUUCGUUGUAAGCAACUAUGUACAAAAGUACAAAAAAAGUAAUUACCAUAAUGAUAAUAUGUGUAAUGUUAUGUCGUAUUAUUUUAAGGACUUGAAACUAUUAUAUAUAUGUAUAUUACGGAAAUGUAUUUUUAUUUACACGUUAAACAUAUAUAAAUUUAUAUCUUCUCGUGAGAUAUUUAUUGUAUUUAUUAUACUUCAGUAAACUAUAAAUUCUUCGGUUGUACUAAUCAAAUCAUUCUGACUUUACUUGUUGAUCUCUGAUGUCAUCGAUCUCUGAAAUCAUAGAACUUGUUCGCAUGAACGAUAUAAAAUCAACUUUAUUACCACUUUAAAAAAUGCAAUAACGACAGCAUUGCGGCAUAAACAGUACGUUGUUUCGUAAUAUAUUGCGAAGUAAACUAUUUACUGGCUUUAAACCAAAAUUGUUAAUCGUUAAAAAAAGAAUUGUUAGAAAAAUAAACAGUUGAUUUUAUUAAGAUACAAUACAAUACCGAUAGGGAAUAAGAUUAAAACAUAUUAAUUUUCAAAAAUUUUCUUUUUUCCUUGGAUGAAAAUUUAAGAUAAAAGAAAAUCGGUAAAAAGAAACGAGCAAAAGUAACAAGUAGUGUUACAUGUUGCAUUCGUAAUAAGUACAUCCAAAUCAUCUAAAAUUUCAGUCGACUGCCUAAUAAAUGGAAUCCACACACUUGCACUGCACAUCUCGUUUCUCUCUCUCUCUCUCUCUCUCUCUCUCUCUCUCUCUCUAUCUCUCUCUCUCUCUUUCUCUCUAUCUGUCCCUCACUCUUUCCUUCUUUCACUAUCUCCUUCUCCUAUCAUCACCCAUUCUCUCAUCCUUGUCACUCUUUCCCGUUCGCGACAUAAGUGAUUUCUUCUUCCGAUUGCUUUAUUCGAUAGCUUCUUUUAUUGUUCAGAAUACUUUGCUAGCAAAUAUGACAUUAAUGAAUGAAAAAAUUUGAGUUUCAAUAAAGAAUUUAAAAAACAAA